CGCCAACUGAAACAUUAAAAUCGAUUCAAUAAAAUGACCAAAAAAAAAAAAAACAGAGAGAAUUAACCCACCCACCGUCCUUCCUCCUUUUUCAUUUGACCCAAGCAUCUUUAAUUUAAUUCAUCGACAAAACACCGAUUAAAAUGGCAAGCAUCUUUAGGUCGACAUUAAAUCCCUCUUCCAACUCGAUACUCUCCACACCCUUCGAGUCAUCAUCACGGUCACUAUGAUCACCAACAAUUGUGCUUUCAUAACCUAACUCUUGCUCUAAUUUACUAGAUCAUUGAUUCUAUCAACCAAAUUUCAAAUUUUUUUUGUAUAAAUAUACUGCAUAAACCUCAAUACGCCAGAACUUGGAACGAAUGGAGCAAAAAAAUCCAAUUUCACAUAAUUUCCCCAAAAAAAUAAAAAUAAAUAAAUAAAUAAAUCACGAAUCCACUUUGUAGAACAAGCUGAGUAGAAAAGGAGAAGAAAGCUAAUAGUCUUGGGAAUACAUACGAAUAUUUACAUAUAGAUACAUGAGGGGAAGAAAGCAAAUAGUCUUUCACAAAUCAGCAACUCUUUUUCGUCCAAAACCUUAAGCGACGAAGUCCAAAAUUCUUGGGUACAAAUUCCGAUAUAGGUGUGCAGAAUGGUGGCAUUAAUUAGGUGAAAGCGUUUCUUUGGGAGCUUUCUAGAAAUUGGGACUGAUAUGGGUUUUGGGGUUGGUUUUGAUAGUUUUGCAACGUAAUAAAUACGUUGUUCAAUCAUUUGAUUGGUUAACAGGAUAUUAAUAAAAUUAGUUAAUUUUUUAAGGAAUUGAACCUAAUUUGCCUAUUGGAAUUUCGCUAGGUAGCCGGUGUAGUUAUUCGGUUCAAGCAUGUUUCGCAUUUUGAACAUUUCUUUCCAUCUAUAAUAGGGUAUAUACACCUGUCAUGUGUAUGCCACGUAGGACGACUGCUG
rnacentral:lncRNA from 1 species